UUUCAAAAUAAUUUCUCAAGUGAUGACUAAUCUGGAAUAGAGUAAUAUCGAAACUAGUUAGUUAUUUCAACACAAUUAAAUUUCAGUACCUAACCAACACUCGGAGACAACUUCCUGCCACGAGCGUUUCGCAAGAUGAGAACAGAGACAAGGUAGUCACAGUUUGGAUGGUGGAUUGCUUAUCCAAGACUAUUCAGGACAUUCACAAGGACAGAGGGAAUACAGAUGUAAAGUCCCCUGUUUAGGGGACCUGCGUGGUUCUGGUACCGGUUCUGACUGACAUUUUCACUUUAUAAAUCGGAUCUGUGGACACUAGCUCAAAAUGGCAUGCAUUGAGCGAUAACCUUGGUUCCCACGGACAUAGUAUUAUAUUGUCUGCCUGUGUGACGUAGGACGUUAAAUCUGAAACCACUUGAAGCUCCUACCAUUUAAUUCGCUCUUCCGACUGUCCAUCAACUCCUGGCUGAACAAUACAUCACAUCCACUGAAAAAGUGCAUGCCUGCAAUCCUUACAUCAUAGCGCAGCAGGUGAGAGUGGUUUCAUCACUAUAGCAUAUUCAGAGAUCGAUUUAUAGCCAUUAAUCUAAAAUAUUUUAUAGAUUGGACAAAUUUUAAUAUGAAAUUAAUAUAGCUCUAUUUGACGUUCACAGCGGUGGGGGCAGGUGUUUUGAUCAAGAGAGACCUUUAGAAAAUAUGCACAUUUUCUCUAACACUAAACAAACAAAUAUGUAUUUUACAGUUAUAAGGAAGGUGAAAUCUUAUAGUAAGAGGUUUUAUAAUUUGAUUAUACUACAUUUAGAAAGCAUAUGUCAUACAGUUUUGUUAAAUAGGAAAUACGUCAAAUAAAAUAUUUCAUAUUUUCUUCAUAUCUGUACUGUGUACUUGAGCUUGUGUCUUCAAAAGUGACUACACCUGAGCAAUUUCUAUAAAAAAAAUACCAGAAAGGUGAGAUUUUAACCUUUCUUGGAGUAUGAUGCAUUACUAGUUACUGUUUAUUGUCCUCUCAUGAUUAAUAAUUACUUUUGGAGAUUAUGUACAUUUCAUUUUGGAUUACAUGUAGUUACUGUACUACGGAUGACACUGCCUUGAUCAGACUGUUGCAUGCUGCUGAGGAACACCAUGGCCCGGUCCUAAAUGACUUUGUAGAGUGGUGUAACAAAUCACACUUGGUCCUCAAUACCAACAAGACCAAAGAGAUGUGUGUAGACUUCAGGAAGCAUACAACACCUACCUCUGCAACAUCUAUCAGAGGUCAGAACAUAGAGAUUGUGGAGGAAUACAAAUAUCUGGGUGUCCUCUUGGACAAUAAGCUUCAGUAGAGUAAAUGUGCAUACCUGAUCUACAAAAAGAGUUGGAGACUGUACUUUCUCAAAAAGCUGGGAUCUUUUAAUGUUGACUGUACUAUACUGAAUCUUUCAUUGAGAUUAUUUUAAUUUUUUGUAUUGUUUGUUGGUUUGGCAAUGCCACUGUCAGCCAGAUAAAUAUGCUGAGAAGGAUUAUCACCACAGCAAGCAAGGUACUUGGAGUCAAAUAGACAGGCCUGGAUGAGAUGUUUAAGUUCAGGGCCCUCCGCAAGGCUCACAAAAUCAUUUUAGACCCAAGCCACCCUCUGUACCCGGACUUUGAACUACUCCUCUCUGGGUGUAGGUAUAGGGCACCCCUCGGCAGGAAAACAGAACUAGACAAUAAUUUGUGCCGGGUGUGAUAUCCCUCUUAAAUAGCUCGGGCUAAUGUUUCUAUCGACCCAGUAAGGCCAGCAGGCUAGUCUCUUUUUAUUGGUAUGUAACUGUUAUGAAAGUUGUAUUGUCAAUUUGUUUUCUAUUUAAACAACACUUUAAAUGUGUACAUGACACUCAGUUUUGGACGAGACUGACUUUAUCAAAAUUAUCCUGUUUACACUUUGUAGUCAAUUUUAACACUAGAAUAAAUGUUUUUGACUAAUAUCGAUGCCACAUGGGCUGUUUUCUAUCAGAGAAGUUGUUUUCCUUCAGUUGCGCUUUAAAUCAUACUUGAGAAAUAAUUAAAGUUGGAACAUUUGUAAGAUUUUGGCCUUACCCAGGCCUCGUUUAAAGCUUCAUGUUUCGUCUGUAGGUGCUACAAAGCAAAAAUGUGUGUCAUUUGAAGCUUUACCGCUUACUCUGUAAUAUGAGUAGUAGUUUGAUUUUAAUACAAAUGAUCUUAUAUUGAAAAUAUAAAAAAUGUGAUUAGUCAAAUGUUUUUACAUAGUGAUGAACAUAAUAUACAAUACGGACAUAUCAAAGUUCCAGAGUGGGAUCUCUCCUAGUUUUAAAGUUAUGGCCCAUUUUAUUCAGAUAAAUUGGCAUAGCAUGCUCCUUUACUUGUAUCAUUGCACAUCCUGCAAAUCGGCAGCAGAGGGCGACUGUUUUCACAUUCACUCUGUUGGUAAUGCUUACAUAUUGGAUCAUAACUCCAAAGUAGCAGAGAUCCCAUUCUGGGAAUUGUGUGCUUGUCGAAUAUGCUAUGAUCAACAAUAUAUUGAAACAUUAGCCAAAUCAAAAAUGGUAUAUUUUAAAUAUUCAUAAAUGAAUUGAAGAACAUUGGUUUUGUAAUCAAAAUACUACUCAUAUUGCAGAGCAAGCGGUUUCGUAUGACAAUUUAUGCUUUAUAGCACCUACAGAUGAACCAUUAAGGAGGCCUGGGUAAAUGUCACAUUCCAGCUUCAAUGAAUGAUUUCUCAAUUAUGCUUUAAGAUACAAAUGUCUAAUAUGUCAACAAUCCUUCCACCAAAAGAACCUUUUAUAUAGACUACAUUUCAUGAAAAUCCCCAGAAUCGUACUCUUCUUUUUGUUCUAAUUUUGUGAGGAAUCACCCUUAUGGAUGUUUUUAUCUAUGUGACCACUUACCUCAUUGAAGGAAGUAGAUUAGAUGACCAGAUGCUUGUGUUAGAAGAGGAGACCAGUGUGAUUCAAUUUGCCGUUUCUAUAAACCAGAGGAAGUUUCAAUGUACAAACAUAACCUGCUGUGCAUUUGGUUAUGUGGUCCUUAUGGGUAUUAGCCAUGAUGACUACUCCAUGACUAUGCUUUGAUUUGUCAAAUGUGUAUUAUUCAUCAAGAACUUUAUUUAGACUGUGUAGCAAAUUGUAAAUAGUUAAACUCUCAUGGCCUGUGACUCACAGACACCUCAAUGGUUUAUCUUCAUUAACACUGUCAACUUAAUCAUUGAAGGAGCAGAGAGUAGUAGUUAAGGUUUAUCCAGAAACUGGUAGCAUUAGGUAACAAGGGGGUUGCGGAGGAGAAGGUAAGUACUGUACUACCUAAUAAACCUGUUACCAGAUCGGGGCCAGUCCCGACUCCAGGGGGAUGGGGAGAGGGGAACAUCUGGAUUUUGCUUCGUGUGGGCCAGACUCUAAAAUGUUGCUGGGUUUUGUUGAGGGAUAAUGGGAAAGGAAUUAACUUCUCAGAUGGGCUGACCCUCGAGGCCACCAAGUGACUGUAGAACUGAAUUUAACAGAGCACCAGAGUAAACAGACAGUCAGAUUUACUAAGCAUUUGCACUUUUGCAAAGUCUACACACUCUUUUAUUUACCGACGGUAAUACAACUGAGAAGUUAGGUAAAACAUUUAACACAAAGGUAGAGGAGCAUUCAGUAAAGUAAAGAGUAAAAAUAUUAGAUGGCUUAGAUUUGUUUUAUUUAUAUUUGUCUUAUGAAAGUAACGGCUGCAAACUACAUCAGUGCAAGGACUUACAAAUUAUGGCCUCCUGUGUGCUUAUUUAAUUUAAACAAUAGGAGGGUGUGUGUGUGCCAUGCAUUAAUUUGUCCUCUUAAUUCCAGAAUGUAGCUUAACAGCUCUUCUCGGCAAUUCCAGACAGGUGCCACGACUACAAUAUGGCUGGCAGCAGACAGAGAAGAGAAGCUUUGCGUAUCGCUGGGAAACACAGCCUCCUGCCUCCCCGUCUGACAGGCCUCUGUUGUCAUGGCAACAUGCUGUGGCGCAGCACUUAUUGGGAUUCAGAUUCAGACGGAUGGCGGGGCUGGUGGGCGACUGCAUUAGCCGUCCGGGGAUUUGGUUAGGACCUUCCUCGCAGCGAGCCCUGCCUGUCUGAGAGCCACAGCACCGCAGAGCUCCCAGGCUCCAACGCCACCGCAAUGGAGGCUCGCCGCCCUUUGUUUCCACUCUGGAUAUGUGUCAGUCGGUGUGUGUGAGUCUGCAGCAGAAAUGCAGCAGCCCAAUGGACUUUUUCUCUCUUCUGCUUACGGCAGGCGAUGUGCUUCCCCUGGUUUGUGCCGCUUUCCUUGUAUUUUCAUCUGGAAAUUGCCCGCAUAUCUGCGAUUUCAGUUGAUUCUUUUCAAUAAGGACUGAUAUGACCAAUUUUCUCAUCUUGAUGCGCUUUACUCUGUUCACACAUUGAGCGGAAACUUUGAAUUUGUCAUCAACGGUUGUCUCUUUGCCACACCCUAGUUCACUGUGGCUUAGAAUAUCAUGCGAUAUGCAUUUCAAAACCUUAAAAAUUUUAAUCCCCUCAUUUCUGUGAACCACAAGGCGAGAAAAAAACUGUAUUGAAUACAAGCUGUCUAGUCAAACAAAGAGCGAAAAUGUCAUAGCAGAACCCACUCAAGCCACCCCAUGCAAUAUGUGUAUUUCCGUUAAAGAUAGGUUGUAGAUUGGGUGGAAACGUGCAGAACAUACCUUUGCGAAUCAGAUAAAAUGACACAGAAGGUGAACAGCUGACACAGAAGGCGAACAGCCAAAAACAUUACGCAGUGUCCUUCCAUCUAUAGUUCAUAUUCUCUACCGUACAGGAAAAAAAACUUUUGUGAAAGGAAGGCGAAAGUAGACACUUUUUUUUCUAGACUCGUCGCUGCUCAGUGGUGCCGUUGGAGGCAGAGCUUUCGCUGUUGUCUUUCUUUCCUCCUCUCCCUCUCUCAUUCCCUCCCUCUCUCUUUCUACGCUGCUCACUCCAGCUUCAACGUCCUUCGUCUUUCCCUAGGUCCUGGUCGAGUACUCCCGCUCUCUCCUCUUCCACCCAGUCCUGUCCUGGCUUGCCCCAGCUCUCAGACCAUUGACCACAGGAUUCCCACAUUGAAGUUUAAAAAUAGCUAGACUGGACUAUGGGUCUGUCUGCUGCCUCUGUGCUGCCCGGGCAACUGGAGCCCAUCGGCAUCUACUCUGCAGUCGCCAAGCAGGAAACGGCAACUUUGUUAAGCAUGGCUGAGGACGGUAAGAGAGAGCGGCUCAGUGCUACAUCACACACCACUACGCCGUGCUGCACAGAUGACAGAGAAAACACCUAGGUUGCAUGCCUGCUACCGGGGUUACGGCGAUACAACUUCAACCAUACCACAAAGCGCACCCACAAUCACAUUUUUGCUUAACUUCUACACCGCCACCAUUCAUACUGUAUCUCACAGUCCAAAAGGGAAGCUGGAUCUGUAACUCACUUUCAAACACACGUCACAUCACGCUCUCCAUCUGUCUCAUGCAAUGCACGCAUGCACUUUCUCUUUGUCUGUGCAACUGUGUACACUCAACCCUCUCUCGCUCUUUGUCAGCACAUCUGUGUACAUUGCAGUGCAUUGCCUCAUGAACAUAAGCCUACAAUGCUCUUGUUUGUAUAUAGCAGCAUGAUCAACGAGAUAUCUGCGACUAUAUAUGGUUUAUUUCUCUCAUCUGCUUCUGUACUUUCAAAGUAAGAGAAAGUGAGAAAAAAAGAGGACGUAGAAGAGAGCAAGGGGAGAGGAGGACCGUCAUCUUUGUGGAGGCUGCUGAUGGAUGGGAACACAGGGGGAUGCCUCAGCACUGCAGGGGGGAGGGGCUAAACCAGGCAGGCAGGGCACUGCUAGCCCCACCAGCUGCUGUAGAUGCACACAGUCGCUUUAUGCGUAUGAAGGCGGAGGGGUUUUAUUACAAGUGUUUUUGAAUUUGCAUACAUGUCUUAGCUUUUUCUGGGAUCAGGGAUGCGGCUUCUGCACCCGGGUGUGAAAUCCAUGCACAUUUUACAUUUACUUGGUCUUACAGAACAGAUUGGCCUCAUGAAAUGCAUGGGAGACAUUUGUUGUGCACUUUCUACCAGUGUUCGUUCAGCUUAUCAUGAAAAUGGCCAUGCCUCUGUCCCCUCCUGCUCUCUCUGCUUUCUCUCUCUGCUCAUUACUGGUCACAUGGCCUUGUGGUUGUGAUCGAGACGCACACAAUUAACCACAAGCUCAGCCGUCUGCCAGCUAUUUCUGGUGCAGGCCUACCCGGCUUGAUUGUUGACAUUACCUGAAUGCAAUCAAGGCCCCUGUCUGCUUGCAUUGGCCUGGGUAAGCAGUACACCAGCCUGGAGCACGCCAGCCCUCACACUUCUGUAAGCCGCUGCACUUUGGCAUGACCUUGUUGCUGUGGCAACCUUUGAAGAAAACAGUGCUGCCUUAACAGCAUGGUGGUAUGAAACAGUAAAGAACCGUACACGUUCUGGGAGGGAGCCUCUUAAAGCCAAAGGAAAUAUGAUUUGACAUGUUUGAGUGGCCACUAUCAUGCCUUUAUCUCAGUUUUUCCUCUGGUGUCUUUCCGUUCUCUUCCUUCACUGUUUUUAAGACAUUCCUGCUAUGUAUGGUUAAUGGUCUUGCCUGCUUCCUCCCCACUUUUCCUGUAUUUGUAGUCUUGCCUGCACAAUCGACUUCCACUGGUGCACUGCAGGGGAACUCAACAUCCCAAAACAAAUAAUAAGUCUAGCCCUCCUUUACCAUCCAUGCUCUUUGUUUUUUACAGUUUUGAGAAUUGCAAAUUAAGUGCCUGCAGUACCUACUAUUUAUCUCAAUUACCACAACCCCUCUCCCACAGUAUUUGUUAGUACUUCGAAUGUCUUGCAAACAAAGAAUACAUAAAGAGCGGUUGAAAUUUGAACAAAUCAUUUGGACAAAUGUAUAUUGCUAUGAACACAUUAUUUGUGGAUAUUGGAGAAAUUAAAACAAUCCAACCUGCUGAUUCAUUGUU